rnacentral:rRNA from 1 species
AGAAUCAACGCUGGCGGCGUGCCUAACACAUGCAAGUCGAACGAGAAAGGGGAGCAAUCCCUGAGUACAGUGGCGACCGGGUGAGUAACACGUGACUAACCUACCCUCGAGUGUGGAAUAACAUCGGGAAACCGAUGCUAAUACCGCAUAACAUCGCAAGAUCAAAGGAGUAAUCCGCUUGAGGAGGGGGUCGCGGCUGAUUAGCUAGUUGGCGGGGUAAUGGCCCACCAAGGCGAAGAUCGGUAUCCGGCCUGAGAGGGCGCACGGACACACUGGAACUGAAACACGGUCCAGACUCCUACGGGAGGUAGCAGUGGGGAAUUUUGCGCAAUGGGGGAAACCCUGACGCAGCAACGCCGCGUGGAGGAUGAAGCCCCUUGGGGCGUAAACUCCUUUCGACCAAGACGAUAAUGACGGUACUGGUGGAAGAAGCACCGGCUAACUCUGCGCCAGCAGCCGC